AUUAACGAUAUCGAAACGCUAAGCAAAG
rnacentral:sRNA from 1 species